GGGCACAUGGUGUAGUUGGUUUAUCACGCCCGCUUAGCAUAUGUUGCCGCGAGGAUUGUUUACUGCGGGAGGUGUUGGGUUCAAUUCCCAAUGUGUCCA
rnacentral:tRNA from 1 species